UCUCCGUAGGUGAACCUGCGGAGGGAUCACUACGGGCUUGUAAAAGCUCUGAAACCACUGUUUAUCUACCUGAAUCUGCUUCGGCGGGCGGCCCCAGGGCGGGGCCGUAGCCGCAAGGCGCCCGCCGAAGACCCCUAAACUCUGUCGUCUUGAGAAUCUCUGAGUAAUCAUAUUAAACAAAAACAACUUUCAACAACGGAUCUCUUGGCUCUG
rnacentral:misc_RNA from 1 species